rnacentral:lncRNA from 1 species
CGCCUGUAAUCCUACUCGGGAGGCUGAGGCAAGAGAAUUGCUUGAACCCAGGAGACGGAGGUUGCAGUGAGCCGAGAUCAAGCCACUGCACUCCAGCCUGGCCGAGAGAGCAAGACUCUGUUCAAAAAAAAAAAAAAAAAAAAAACCUGCCUGGUUAUUAUUUCCCCCAUUUACAACAUUCCAAAUCACUAUGCAAUUUUUCAUCUAAAAGACAAAAUAUACCUGGGUAAAAAACACUCAAGGUUUUAUAAAUUUUCAGUUUUAGUUAUAAGCUAACAGAGUCAUCUCAAAACACAGAAAUGUAAGGUACAGAAAUACAGGGCAAGAUUCCCCUAAAAAGACAUAAUGGCAGUUUCAAAGCUCAGUAUAUAUUAUACAUAUUGAUAUACUGAAAACUAUGUUUAUUCUACAAGAAUAAGCAACACAGAUGGCCAGGGAAGGGAAUAAGAUGUUUUAGUAGACACUUCUCAAGGAGGCAUUAGCUCAAUGAGACAAUCAGAUGUUCAGUUCAAUUAUGAUACCACACUAUUGUUAUAUUAUUACACUAGCUUCCUUGGUUACCAGUGAGAAAGAUUCUGGGGGGAGGGCCACAAGAUAGGAGGGGACCAAAUACAACACUAUUCUCUUCUCUACAAAAGAA